AAAUUGAAGAGUUUGAUCAUGGCUCAGAUUGAACGCUGGCGGCAGGCCUAACACAUGCAAGUCGAGCGGAAACGAGUUGUCUGAACCUUCGGGGGACGAUAACGGCGUCGAGCGGCGGACGGGUGAGUAAUGCCUAGGAAAUUGCCCUGAUGUGGGGGAUAACCAUUGGAAACGAUGGCUAAUACCGCAUGAUGCCUACGGGCCAAAGAGGGGGACCUUCGGGCCUCUCGCGUCAGGAUAUGCCUAGGUGGGAUUAGCUAGUUGGUGAGGUAAGGGCUCACCAAGGCGACGAUCCCUAGCUGGUCUGAGA
rnacentral:rRNA from 1 species